UACGUAGGGUGCAAGCGUUAAUCGGAAUUACUGGGCGUAAAGCGUGCGCAGGCGGUGAUGUAAGACAGAUGUGAAGUCCCCGGGCUCCAACCUGGGAACUGCAUUUGUGACUGCAUCGCUGGAGUGCGGCAGAGGGGGAUGGAAUUCCGCGUGUAGCAGUGAAAUGCGUAGAUAUGCGGAGGAACACCGAUGGCGAAGGCAAUCCCCUGGGCCUGCACUGACGCUCAUGCACGAAAGCGUGGGGAGCAAACAGG
rnacentral:rRNA from 1 species